CAUGUCCGGGCCAGGUGAGGUUUCCCAGGUGAGGUUUCUCGAUUCUGUGGGUGGUGGUGCAUGGCCAUUCUUAGUUGGUGGAGUGAUUUGUCUGGUUAAUUCCGAUAACGAACGAGACUCUGGCAUGCUAACAUGCUCAAAUAAAUUUGUUAGUCUCUAAGGUGCCACAAGUACUCCUUUUCUUUUUGCGAAUACAGACUAACACAGCUGCUACUCUGAAACCUAACUUAUAUUAGAUACAAACACACAUUUGAGGUUCAGAGGGUUUAACAGUAUAUUUCUUUAAACUUUUGCCAAGGUGGUAUUCUGAAUGUGUUACUGAAAUCAUAGAAUGAAAACAAGGAAAAGGGUUGCUUCCAAUGACAUG
rnacentral:ncRNA from 1 species